GUCACUGCACUCAAGCCUGGGUAACACAGCAAGAUUCCAUUUCAAAAAAUAUGUAUGUGUAUAUGUAUAUUCUUCGAAUGCACUCAGGUACAGACACUGUUGACUGUCUUUCCAACAGCCUUCUUCCUUGCUAACAGAGCAUAACACUAAUUAAUUAUGCUCAUGUGGCAAUGCCCAACCUCAGGGAUGAUGCUGGAUUGGUCUAAACUGAUCACAGUAAUCUUCCUCUUUGCUAGUGAGUGGCCUAGGGUUGGUACACAAUCCACUUCUGACCAGUAAGAUAAAAGAGAGGGUCUAGUGGAAAAAGUUUUCCUUCUUGCCAACAGAUGUACAGGAAGAGAAAGUACUCAUUUGCUACCACUCCCACCACCAUCACCUUGCUUCUCAUUUUGCGUUUUCAUGUGAGGAUGUGACAUCCAGAGCUACAGCAGCCAACUUGUGGCCAUGGGAAGACUGCUAAAACUCCAAGGACAGCAGAAUAAAAAGAAAAUCAAAGAAGGGCUCUUAAAGACAUCAAUGAACCAUCCAAGACAGCCUAGCACUGCCAACCUAAAGACUUCUUUGAAGAUAAACCGGUGUCUUUUAUGGUUUAUGCCACCGUUUGUUGAGUUUUCUGUUAUCUGCAGCCCAAAGCACUCUAACUGAUAAUCUUAGAAAGAGCAAACUCUUGACCUUACCACAGAAGGCCCUCUGCAUGAUGUGCUACUCAAAGUGUAGUCUACAGACCCACAACCUUGGCAUUGCCUGGGAGCCCAGCCCUGGGCCCAUGAAUCAGAAUCUCCAAGGGUAAAGUCCAAAAGUCUGUGUUAUAACAAGCUCCCAGCUGGUUCUUGUGCAUGGUAAAGUUUGAGAAACACUGCUCUACAAAGUUAUCACAAAUUACUUUUUACCAUCUCAGCUACUACCCUACGUAGGAUGAGGUGCACUUGAUCUGCAAUUUGUCUGGUGACAGUAACCUUACUGGGUUUGAGCAUCAUUUGUUGCUCCUUUAGUUUCUUCUCCUCUUAAUCAAAGUCUUCGAACUUGAAGCCUCCAGGACCUGAGAGGAUUACAAAGGUCUGAAUAUAAGACAGGCUGUGAAGCAGGCCGUGAUGAACUACGGGGUACAGGCACAUCUGAAGGACACUGAGCAGACGUUGUCAUACAAGGAAAUUGGUUCAGUGUUUUCACAUUUCUAAAGAAAAGCUGGAAUCCAGAUUUAUAUGCAAAGUUUUUUAGAUAUAGACAACCAAGGUUGUUUUAAUACUCUGCAGAUUAAACACAUUUUCAAGUGGAUUCACAUCCACCUGAGUUUGUGACAUGAAGUAGAGAUUCCUUGAAAUAUCGACACAUACUUUGAAAACUGUGACCACAUACAUUCACUGACUUCAUUUAAAAUGACUAAAAUUAAUUUUCUUUGGCUAACUAUAUGCUAGUCUCUACUGAGCACAGGGUCUUCAUCAAUAGCCCGGCAUCUGGAGUGGUCAAAUAAAGAGUUUGUGGACCUCUAGUUAGGGGCAGCAGGACUGUUUUAUCCAUUAAUCACUAUAGACCACACACUUAGAACUGCAAGCUUCUCAUGGGUCCACAACAAUAUGAGAAAAAAAUAAACUGGCCACACAACACCAGAAAACUACAAAAUUACAACUGAUAGGUGUGAAGCUAAAUGUUUACAAAAUGUAAAAACGUAAGUCAAUGGAUCCAUAUCAAUUCGGAUAUGGUAUCAUAUUACAUUAGAUUAAAUGCAGGAAAGUGGAUGCAUUUUAAUGUUUGAUGGGGCGUGGAGGGGAGCUCAGAUCAAUAGUGCUUAGAGCUGCCAAGGUUCUAAAAAGGCCCCGGGUACCAACCUGAAGCCAACCAUUCUGUGGUAAGUCUAGUCUUCACAGGUGUCACAAAUUUCUUUACGCAGCUCUACUCCAUUCUAUUCAACUGUCUACAUAGUUGGACAUGGGAGUAGAACUGUCCACAUAGUUGCACAUAAACCAUAAAUGACUUAUUAAAAAAGUAUGUUUGGAUCCUCAUCUACACAUGAAUUUAAGACAAGAAGUGCAAGAAUCAGCACACAAGCAAGUUUUGAGGGUCCCACAUAAUGAUUUUAAUUAUUUUUUGUUAAUUUAUUACAACAUUUAAAAUUCAUGAUAAUUCACAUAAAAACCCUGAUUAUCAUCCUCUUGAAAAAAGAAUUGUAAAGUAUAGAGACAUUGGACCCAAAUGUUCGCAGGGCAACAGUCUACUAAUGCUGAUCAAAGCUACCCCUUUAAAUGGGGUAUGUUCUCUACUUGGCCACAAACCCCUAUCUCCAUGUAGGCUAACUUACUGCCCACCCCCCCCACCCAAGAGACAAUUGAGUUUAUGUUCCCUGGUCUAAGGCUCUUAGAAAAACCUUAUUUCUUUUUCACAAUGUGGCUUCAAUAUCUUACAUGAAGACUUGUCAUGGUAGGAUAUAGGAAUCUCUCAAUCUCUCAAUCUAAGAAGAGUUUCAAUCAAAUUCCCCUCUCAAUAUGUUCUCAAUUUGAAUCAUGAUCCCCAAGAAGAUGGACAAAUGACAAAUUACCCUUCAGUUUCUUUUACCCUUCAAGCUAGCCAAGCCAGAAACCCAAUCAGGUGGAGUCAAAGCACUAAUAUAAGAAUGUCUUAAUUAAGCAGAGUGAUCAAUAAAUAAUACACAUAAUAAUUAGAAAGCAAAGUCUGGGACUGAUAGAAUAAAAACAACAUAGCACUGAUCUACGUAAGGAUGAGAGGUCAAUAGCCAUAAUUCAAAAGGAAAAGCCCUAAAAAUAUGUAGAAAUAGCUAGUAAAUAGAGUUUAGUCCAAGUUCGUUAAUAACCCACUAUAUGAUUUCACCUCACACCUACAUUAAAUACAGUAUCUUAUUUUGGGAUGGCAGAAUUCUGACAACUACAGGUUGAGUAUCCCUUAUCUGAAAUGCUUAGAACUAGAAGUUUCAGAUUUAGGGGUUCUUUGGAUUUUGGAAUAUUUGCAUAAUACUUACCAGUUCAGCAUCCCUAAUCCAAAAAUCUGAAAUCUGAAAUGUUUCAGUGAGCAUUUCCUUUGACCGUCACAUCAGUGCUCAAAAAAGUUUUGGAUUUUGGAGUAUGUUGGAUUUCAGAUUAGUGCUACUUAAAUUAUAUUUGCUAAUUGAUAUUCUGUGUAUUAUUUUCUUACUGGUGAAAAGACAAAUUGAACUCAGGAAAGAAAAAUUACAAAUAUAUAGUCAAAGAGUCACCAAUUCAUUUGAGUAACAUAAUGAGUUUUUAUUUCUUAAUAUACGGGGUUUAAUUUGUUAACCACACCAGAAAAAGAAAUGUUCAAACAGUCAACUUUCUACUUGAAAUUAAAAUGGAAAUUAGCCCUUAGGAAACAGUGAUGACUUUAAGUUUAUACAUCAGUGGCUGGUUCAUGAAUUAUUAACUGAUUUUAAUGAUCCUGGCUAUAUUUUAUUUGAAGUUAUUCUCCUACUUGCAACGACUUUUGAACCCACAAAACUCUUUCAUCCAUUCUCCAUAGACACAGUACACUUUCACGAGCGCUGACAUUUGAAAAGGAUCCAUAUACUCACAGAAUGUAAAGAUAAUACACAUUCAUAUAAUUUAUACAAAGGACUCUGGUCAUUUGUUAAAGAGAGAAAUGAAUGAAACCCUAUUAUUCACGGUUUGUAAAUAAAUUUAAAGAUAAGCGCUAACUUUCACUUGUUAAGCUUAGAGCCAAGAGUUCUGUGUUUCUUCUAAAGUUUCCCAGAUGGUCAUUAAAACAAGAGAGGGCAGAAACAUACUUUCUUUGAAAUCCAUCAUUUCCUAUCCAGAAAGAUAAUACAUGUCAUCAAAAGUUAAGUCUUUAGAGAUUAAUUAAUAAUUUGAGUAUUUUCUAAUAAAAUAAAUGCAUGUCUUUAUUUUUACAUUUUCAGUUUUUACAUUUUCAGUAUAAACCUAUAUUGAACAGCACCACUUCAGACACACAAAUUAGCUGUGAAACAAAAUGCUAUAAACCUUUAAUUAGCACUUGCUGCUUUAUACCCAUAAAGUUAAUACUUCCUCUUCUACUAUAUUCUCUGUAAAGAAAAAUUAUGGAAAAUUAAAUUGUGUUUUUCACUUCUGAAAAUAAAAGUAGCAAAAUAUAGUAUUGUGGCUCAGUUUAAAGAUAGUUAUAUUUUUACCUGCAAGGAAGUCAAUACAAACAUCCCUUAAAAUAAGUAUAAUUUGAUUCCUACCAAUAUUAAGCGCUAUGUCUAACUUUUGUAACUUGGGUACACAGAACACUGAUGACGAUCAGAUUGCUAAAUAAGUAAGAAAGCAAGUUAUUUCAGGCAAAUAGCUGCAUUAAGAAAAUACGACAGUAAGCCAACUUGCAUCCACACUCCUGAAGCUGAACAAGCAUCUCAAUAAAUAAUGUCUGUUUUCAAGCUUUAUAUACCCUCCCUGAAAUAAAUGUUCCGAGCUUAAAUAGACUCAAAAUAGCCUUUCUCAGAAAAUAAAAAAGAGACACACACAAAACACCCCCAAUUUCCUCUGGUCCCUUGAAGUACCCUUGGGAUCCCAGUGAACAGAGAUUUGCCACGCAUUGCAGUCACUGCAUUUGUACAAUAGGUUUCUAUUUUGGUGUCAUUCGAGUGUUGCUGAUCUUAAAUCAGAGAAAGAAGGAGUUACAUUAGGCAAGGUAAUGGCUUCCAAAAAUAAGAGCAUGCCCAGUUUAUACAAGGCUUGCAUCCACAUGCUAAGUUGUAAGGAGAUAAAUAAUACCCCACUGGAACAAUUAGGUGGAUUCUCAGAAACACUACAUACUUAAUUAGGCUGCCUAAGUCCCUGACUGAGCAUACAUGGGGGACUUUUUAAAGCAUUUAAUAACCUGAGUAAAUCCAAAAUCAGAGGACACAAACUAAUCCUUAACUCUGGCUCCAGCGAUCGGCCUUUUCUUGCCUCUCUUUAAAUGCUUAGCGUAGCCCUUAGAAUGCGGAGAGCAGGAACGCUCCAACCACCAAAGGGUUAAAGCACAAGGAAUAAAGUCCCCUCGAUCUAUAUUUGCUGGGAGGCCCCUCUGUGCCAGACGCGGAGCUGGGCGAUGAUGACACUGGAAGGCGAGCAAGAGAGACCCUAAUGGUUUUUUACAAACUUCAGCACUGGAGUUGGGAACGGAGUAUAAACAAAUAGAAAGGAACACGAGCCUCCAUCAGCCACGGGGCACAGCAAACUGUUCCUCACUCUAGAUGCAAUUCCUCCUCUUCCUGUUAUUUAUUGAUUAGUUUUGUUUAGCACCUUUCUUUUAGCAGACUCCUUAUUUCCUCCUGUUAUCCAAGCAAUCAUAAACAAACUACGAUUUGAAAGAAAAAGGGAGGGAGGAGGGAGGAGCAGGAGGAAGGGUAAAGAAAACCACAUUCAAAAGGUACAGGCCAUCCAGAGCCCGACUGUUUCUCUGAAUUUCGCCCUCAGGGUGAUGUUUUCGGCAAAUUCGGCGCUGGGGGCUUCAGGGAGGACAGAGGACACCGAGGGGUGGUGGUGGGAGGGCGGGGGGGAAUUCUGCGCUGCCCGGGUACCAGGGCUGCGACUCUCGCCCGCCUCGCUGCUCCGAGCGGCGCCUGCUGCCCUUCUGAGGUCCACCUAGCCACCUGGAACGCUCGGUCCUCGAAGUUGGCGCAGGGGGAGGUGGAGAAGGUGAGGUGACCCCAGGGUAUGGUGUGGAGGUCUCCAAUCCCGAUCUCCCCGAAAUGCAAAACUUACCACCCCCGUCCCAGAAAAAAAAAAUGAGAGGAGAGAAGCCACUUACGCUAAGCGGGGAGGGGCGGGCACCCCGGUUCCAAGGUCCAAAGCGCCCUAGCGAAAGGGCAGCAAAGGCCACCUGCGGGGUCCCACCACUUACCCCACUCCCCUGUCCAAGGCAUACUCAAAAGUUUGUUCCUUUCCGUCCGUAAGCGGCCCUGAGGCCGGCUCUCGAGUAGGUGGGGGAGGUAAGAAGGACUGGGAGUGGGGGAGGGCAAGAUCAUCGGACCAGGAGAUCAGGGACCCCCUGCGUUGCCCCCCACUCACUCCAGGGGGGCUGCGAUCGUGUUUACUAAUAACAGCAACAAACAAUCACACGGGAGCCCCUCUUUCAGUCCUCGGUCUCUCUUCGCUUCUUUGGUGCAGCAAAGGAGAGUCUGGCGGGGAGGUGGGAGGGAGCGGAGAGGCUGAGGGGAGCGCCGGCUAGGGGACAAAAAGCGGCGUGGGAUGGAGCAGAAACAGAAGCGGGGAGAGCUGGACAGAGACGAAGGCUCAAAGAUAGCUCUUACAAGGAGCCAAAAGUCUGGAAAGCUAAGUUUUUCUUUGCAGACUCACAAUCCUCACCUUCUGCUCAUUCUGUCUUGCAUCUGGAGCAAUCUGAGCUUGAUUAAAGGACGAAGAAAAGUAUAAUCAAAGUUACAGAGACUAAACCUGAACUUGUAAUCAGACUUCGAGGAUCAGGAAUAUAAAUACGCUUUGCAGCGGAAACCCGCUAGCUGCAAGAAUGGGAAUUGCAAGUGGACUGAUGUGCUGCAUUCAGCUUUGGGCGGUGGAGCCUAGAAAAUGAAGCGAGAACUUUACCCCUAAGGCUCUCAGGAGUUAGGAAUGCGCAAUGACAAUCCCUAACUUCUGGCCAUUGUUUUGGAAAAGUCUUUCUCUUAAAUUUCCCUUCCCUGUUAGGAUGCAAAGGCUUUUGGGAAGGGAACAAUACUCAUCCGUCUGCAUUUUAUUAUUUGAUUUAGGAUGUAAGGUAAGCAAAAGAUCUGAGUUUGGAUUUUGAUUUAGGGGGAGGGGAAGAAUCCGGGUGAUGAGCUGAAGAUGUGUAUGUUGAGGCAUUUAGAAUGAGAAAAUCACUGGAACAGAAAAAGGGCAUCGGGGAAGGCUGCUGACUUGACGAUUUUGCCCAAUCUCCACGCAUUUGGCAGCUAGCUUUAUUUAUUUAUUUAUUUAUUUAAGUACCUACCAUGUGCCAGACAUGAUUUUAGGCACUUGUGAAUGAGAAAGAGGAUUCGAUUCCCAACAUGACACAUAUAGAAGUCCUCAAAGAGGACUAUGAAUUGAGCUCUUGGAACACAAAAUACACACGUACUCACAUGCACACGUGUAUACAUACCCUGAACCAUCCCAGUCACCUGGAGAUACUGACAUGGCACAGCCACUAGCUGCUGUUGAGAGAAGCAACAUGAGAAACAAACUCACAUACAGUGUGAAGGAUGCCAGCCUCUAUAUCCCCAUGGUAUUUGUAUAAGAAGGCUCAAGGGACGAGGCAGUGCACACUGAUAGAUCAUUGCUGAAUCCCAAGAACCUCAGACCAUGCUUGGUACAUAGUUUGUUUGCAGGAAAUAAAUAUUCAUUAAAGAAAGAAAGUUCAGAAAGAACAUGGGAAGGAAGAAGGAAAAAAAAUCAGAAUGUUUUAAUAGUGUAAUUUAUUUGCAGGGAACCUUAAGGCAGGAUUUGAGAAGAGUGUAUCCAGGGCCUCUGAUGUGAAUUAGAACAAUCUACCUUGGGUGGGGUGGGGGCCUUUUGCACCCUGCUGUUGUAGACUCUUCGUAAAUAUUAAAACUAGGAUCCUAUGUGGUUUCCUUUAGAAAUGA